GGGGCCGUAGCUCAGCUGGGAGAGCGCUGCGAUGGCAUUGCAGAGGUCUGGGGUUCGAUCCCCCACGGCUCCA
rfam:Proteobacteria bacterium ST_bin13 207, whole genome shotgun sequence.